AGCAGACAAAUAGCCCUUGAUUCCAUCUACUUAUCGGAAUCAGGUCAAGAACUUUACCCAAUUGGCUGUUUUUACGCUAAUUGUGAUGUUUCAUUCUUCUUGAUCUUUCCCUUUUCGAUCUGGUAAAUCCUCUCAGCAUCAGCUUUCCGCCAAUGGUAGAACUAUGAUCACAGCUGACCCAAUUGUACCCCAUGCUAUCGCCACAAUUGCCCAGAAAGUGAAAUAUCCUUUGCUGAAGUCCUCUACAAAAAGUAACAAAUAUAUGUCAAAAAGAGCUUCUAAUGAAAAAAAAAGGGAUUACACAUGGGAAUCGAAAGCAAAGAAAGUGAUGCUUAUGUUCAACUUGAAAAAAAGGGUAUUACAACAAGGAAGGUGUGAUAGUAAUAACGGUUAAAUGCAAGAAAUAUGAUCACACAUUCAUUUAUUUGUUUAUUAUAGAAUCUACUUCCAUAUAUUUCUACCGAAAUAUGAUCACACAUUCAUUUAUUUGUUUAUUAUAGAAUCUACUUCCAUAUAUUUCUACCGCAACAUUGUAUUUCAAAAAUACACCCAAUUAGAGCCUUAAUUGGGUAGAUAUUUUAAGAUGUAAUGCUUUAAUAAGGAAAAAAAUGGAAAUACAAUGUUGCGGUAGAAUGAAAUGAAAGUCGAAUGUCAUAAUAAACAAAUAUAUGAAAGUAAAUUGCUAUUUCUUGCAUCCUUAGUAUUAAAAAUAGUAAUACUAAUAAUAAUAAUUCUUAUUAUUCCUAGGCUUAAAACUCAUACCUCAUUUAUAGAUUCUCACAUCCUUACUGCUUGCAAGCAUGAACAAAAUAACGCGUACAACUUAUUUAAUUGAGACAACCAAAAGAGUGAAAAAGUAAACUUACUAGCGGGAAGUGACAAAACGGGCCAUAAUAUGACAAUCACAAACGUAAACCCGACACCCCAUUUUAUAAUCCAUCUCUUGGCAGCAAUCAACUUCUCCUCCUUAUACUCAUCAACUGCAAUCCCACUCUUUUCCUUCUCAACAACCGUUAUCUGUCUCGUGGUCUCCCAAUCAUAAUCUUGUGGCUUCAAGAAACUACAAACCGCAUGAACGGCCCCACCCGUAAGAAUGGAGACUAAAUUCCCAACAAGCAUCGGCGCGUUUCUUCCGGUUGUGUCGAGAUUGACCCGCCCGUAUUCAACCCUAGCAACCACUAACCAAGUAAUGAUACCUAAAAGACACCCGGAAAUGGUCCCUAAAAUGGCACCAAAUGCAUUGGCUUUUCUCCAUAGGAGCAUGAAGGCUAAGGGCAUAACUGCGGACCCGAUGAAGACGCCCAUGGCUAGGUACAUCCAACCGAGGGACACACCGACUUUGUUAAGUAUGACUGCUAAUAUUCCCAUGAAACAUCCGAAUGAGAAGACGACUGCGCGUGAAACUUUUAGGAUUUGUUUCCCGGUUGCGUCGGGGUUGAUGUAUGUACGGUAGAUGUCGUAGGUGCAAAGGGAUGAAACCGCGAUUAAUUCGGAAGAACCCGCGGAGGUUACGGCCCUACGGAGUAGUUUGAUGAAGAAUGUGAGUUUUUUACGUUAAUUCGAGACAAAGGGUAGAAUGGUAAUUUCGGUGAAAAACAAAACGGUAUUUGUGCAUAUAUAGUCGGUACAAUAAUUCAUCCUCACAAACAUCAUUUAUCGGUGCGAAGGGAAAAAAAGAAACAGGCCCUUAAAGUGUUUGUUAUGUGUUUCCGAUUAACUGAUGAAAUGAUAAAAUGAUGUUUAUAUGGAGCAAGUGUUGUAUAAAUAAAAGCGUCAACUGUCUAUUGUCUAAAUGAGUGUAAAUUGACCAUUAAUAAAUCAUUUUCUAGCAUAACUAAUUAGAAAUGAAAUUAUAUGAUUUAUAUAUGGGCAAAUGCUAUAAAAACCCUUAGGUUUGCAAGUUUUGUCGUUUUUACCCAAAGUUGUAUUUUAGGUACAUUAAUGCCUCAAAUUUGAAUUUUAUUUUAUUUUAUUUUAUUUUUUUUUCAGUUUUACUCUUUUUGCAAAUUUAUGUUGUAAAACUGAAAAUUUAUGUCAAACUUAAAGGCUCUUAUGAACUAGAAAACCAAACUUAAGGGCUUUUAUGAACUAAAAAAAAAGGUAAAACCGAACAUUUCUGUCAAACGUAAGGGCUUUAAUAAACCAGAUGGUAAAAUUAAAAAAAAAAAAAAGUUGCAAA